rnacentral:rRNA from 1 species
CGGGGGGCAGCAGUGAGGAAUAUUGGACAAUGGGCGCAAGCCUGAUCCAGCCAUGCCGCGUGCAGGAUGACGGUCCUAUGGAUUGUAAACUGCUUUUGCACAGGAAGAAACAACGCUACGUGUAGCGUCUUGACGGUACUGUGAGAAUAAGGAUCGGCUAACUCCGUGCCAGCAGCCGCGGUAAUACGGAGGAUCCAAGCGUUAUCCGGAAUCAUUGGGUUUAAAGGGUCCGUAGGCGGUUUAGUAAGUCAGUGGUGAAAGCCCAUCGCUCAACGGUGGAACGGCCAUUGAUACUGCUAGACUUGAAUUAUUAGGAAGUAACUAGAAUAUGUAGUGUAGCGGUGAAAUGCUUAGAGAUUACAUGGAAUACCAAUUGCGAAGGCAGGUUACUACUAAUGGAUUGACGCUGAUGGACGAAAGCGUGGGUAGCGAACAGGAUUAGAUACCCGGGU